UACGGAGGGCGCAAGCGUUGUUCGGAAUCACUGGGCGUAAAGCGCGUGUAGGCGGCUUGGUAAGUCGGGUGUGAAAGCCCGGGGCCUAACCCCGGAACUGCACUCGAAACUGCCUCGCUAGAGUCUCGGAGAGGGUGGUGGAAUUCCCGGUGUAGAGGUGAAAUUCGUAGAUAUCGGGAGGAACACCAGCGGCGAAGGCGGCCACCUGGACGAUGACUGACGCUGAGACGCGAAAGCGUGGGGAGCAAACAGG
rnacentral:rRNA from 1 species